rnacentral:rRNA from 1 species
GAUGAACGCUGACAGAAUGCUUAACACAUGCAAGUCAACUUGAACUUCGGUUUGGGUGGCGGACGGGUGAGUAACGCGUAAAGAACUUGCCUCACAGAUAGGGACAACAUUUGGAAACGAAUGCUAAUACCUGAUAUUAUGAUUAUAUGGCAUCGUAUAAUUAUGAAAGCUAUAUGCGCUGUGAGAGAGCUUUGCGUCCCAUUAGCUAGUUGGAGAGGUAACGGCUCACCAAGGCGAUGAUGGGUAGCCGGCCUGAGAGGGUGAUCGGCCACAAGGGGACUGAGACACGGCCCUUACUCCUACGGGAGGCAGCAGUGGGGAAUAUUGGACAAUGGUCCAAGAGUCUGAUCCAGCAAUUCUGUGUGCACGAUGAAGUUUUUCGGAAUGUAAAGUGCUUUCAGUUGGGAAGAAAAAAAUGACGGUACCAACAGAAGAAGUGACGGCUAAAUACGUG